rnacentral:sRNA from 1 species
CCUUCCUUUUGUAUAUUUUUAUACCAAACAGGAAAUAUGAACAGCCACAUACUCACCAUCUCUGUUCCUCAUGAGUCUCAAGAAAGAGGUUCUAGGAACCUAUAUAGAUUUUGUGCACAUAGGGAGAGAACUUGCAGCACAACGGGAAGAUCCUCAGGGGGCAUGUAGGACGGCUGUCUAGACAGUAACAAACUUGUUCUUCAUAGCUGCUCACUUUAAGUAUAACCCUGGAAAAUGGUCAUUAUAAACGAGAGGUAAUUUAUGUUAUACUUAACAGACCUAGCGAGCUGUCCAGAAAACUGGAUAUCCAAGUAGGACUAUCUCCAAAUAAUACACAUCCUGACCUGAAUAUUUUAAAAACUGUAUCUUUAAUGAUUUGAAAGGAGUGAAACAGACCAAAAAUUUACACUGCUUUAGUGCCUGUUUUGUCUGAAAUUUUGCUUUCUUAGCUGUGCCCUUUGCUACUAUUCCUUACUACUCUGUGGAUGGCUCUCAUCUGAGCACACCAGUGCUUUUGUUUUUGAAUUUCUGAUUUUCUGGGGAUGUGUUUAACUUGUAUUAACAGGAAGGGUAUUUUAGCAGACUGGUUUCCUGCUUCGUGUAAAGAGGGAAGCAGACGGCUUCUCUCCUGGCUGUUGGAAACAGGAAUGCUGAGAUAAGCGUUAGCAUUGCAUCUCCCUCUUGCUGUAUGACAAAUUUCUUUCUACUCAAGAGCCCUUGGUCCUGUUUUCUCAUUUGAUCUAACACUCUGAACAGGUGUUAUGUGUAUGUGGUCAUAGGUGAAUUUUAAUGGUAUUUCAAGGCAUUCUAUAUAAAAAUCCAAGUAAUUUCAUGGAUUGCUUUUGUCAAAUAAUAAAAUUAUUUGACAUAAGUCUUAUUGAAAACAGAUGUGGAAUAUGCAAUUCUUACAAUUUUAAAUAUCCUUCCCUGGGGUCCUUUUGACUCAUGCCAACCUGAAAUCUGAAGUAGAAAGUUUCAGCAUCCUUUUUUUUUCCAGGUGUGUUGCCUUUAAUAUACCGGAAAACUUUGUGGCAAGGAACUCUGAGCUUUAACUAAACCUGUUACCAGAAAGAUUCAACCAUCACACUGCUAAUUAAUCAGGAAAGCUUUGUACUUGAGCCAGCCUGCCAUUUGCUAGAGCUUCAACACAUCAGUGGCUGGAGCCAUGGUUUGUAGAUAAAUGUUCCCCGAGAAUUUGGCUGUCAGAACAAUGUACUUCUUUUCUGAACUCCUUUGACACCUGAGUCAAGUGACUGUAGGGAACCAGAACAGGUCUCUGGCUUUUACCAGUCCUUUGAAGUUCAGUGGUCUGAUGGCCACCAUGAUGAGCUGGCUGGUGUGUAUCCAUCAUCAUUGGUAGGUUUUCCAGGAGACUCUUGGUGAAACCAUCCUUGUGGGGCAUAGUUCAUCUGGUGAAACUCUAUUCCCACACACAUGCUGGUUACAUGGCCAGGUCAUAUAGAAAUGAGAGAUUUAGUUGCUCCACUCCUUUAUAGUAUAUCUAUGUAAUUUCAUGAAAGGAGCAGUUGGGAAUUUCUACCACACUAUUCAGUAACAUUUUAAGAAGAAAACAUAAAUUUUGGUCAAAUCAUUGCUAUAAAGGGAAUUUGGAAAGUAACAUAUACCUAAGGAGCAGACAUUAACUUCCUCUAGAACAGAAAAAAAAAGUGUGUAGUGUUGUACAAAGAAAUCCUCAGCUAUAGUUUGUGCCAUCACAAAAUGUCAUAUGGAGAGUGGCUUCAACCACAGAAACUCUAUUUCUCAUAACAAAUUUCACAACUCAUUUCAACAACAGAAACUUAUUUCACUGAGAAGCCAAGUCAAGGUGCUGUCCAGUUUGCUUCUCCAGUCAGAGCUUCUUCCUGCCUCACAGAUAGCUUAUCUUUUACUGUGUCGUCACCUAAGACAGUGAGAGAAGCUCAGCCCUACCUUCAGGACUUAAUUUAACCCCAACUAGCUCCCAAAACCCUAAUCUGCAGAUGAUAUUAUAUUGAGGGAUACAUGUUUAACAUAUAAAACUGAAGGUAGACACUCGAAUCUAUGUCCUUAUUAUAUACAAAUAAAUAUAUUCUUUCUACUUCACAGGUCCCCAAACUUCCUGGUAUUUUAUUAGAAGCUUUAUGUCCCCUUUUCUGCAAUGUUCCUUGGGUGCUAAAUGCAGGAGCUAUGAUGUAGAUGUAUCUGUUGAGGGUGGGCUCCCCACAAUCUGUUGAUCUCUGCAUUGUGUCCUGUUUUCUGUGAUGGCCUCCAUUCGCAAUAAAGAGAGGCUACUUUGGUGAGGGGUGGUAGCUACCUGCCUUUUAUUUGUAAGAUUUGUUUUAAGUAAUAGGGUGUGAUUUCUUUUUAGAGAAGCUAAAAUUGGUUGCUGAGUAGAAAGUGUACUAUUUGGUAUUUGGGGAUAUCUGUUAGGACCAUUUGAUGUAUGGGUUGUUUAAUUACAAUGUUCUUCUGGAUUUUGUUGCAUUAUUUUGUUGGGGUUUUUUUGGGGGGUUGUCCAGAUGACUUGUUUAUGGGGGAAAGUGGAGUUGAAACCAUUCACUGUUAGUGAGUUAGAAUUAAUCUAUGAUGUUAAGCCUUGUAGUAUGAUUGUAAGAAAUUAGGUGGUCUGGAACAAUGUCUGGAGGCAGAAGGAUAGCAUGUGUGGGCCUGAGUCUUGGACACUUUCCAUAUUGGGCUGGCACACAGAUUGUGAGACCAAAGCUAGGCUCGAGGGUCAAGCACAGUGAAGAUUCCAGGAACUCAUUAGGCUGGGCCUGCAUACAAGUGUUCAUCCCAGGCUAGGCCUGGAAGUUGUAUAUGAAACAGCUGAGAUCAGGCCAACCCACCAGACUUGCCUGGAGCAUAGAAUUUGUGACAAGGGCCAACCCUAGAGGUGGAGAGCUGCCCAGGCAGGACUCACAGAUAUGGUUGGCCCAAAACACGUGCAACCAGGUCUAGGUUUGGAAAUUGGGGCAGGUACAGACAGGUUAGCAUUUAGGGAGCUCAGUUUACUGGAGCAGAACAUAGCUAGUCCUGGAGGGCAGAUGUGGUACAGGUGUGCUAGGAGCUUAGUAACAACAGAACUAUUCUUACUGGAAAGUCUUCACAUUUUCUCAAGCCAUCCAUAGUGCUUAUUUUUGGUUCACUGUUGUAUUCAAUAAUGACUUGCAGCAUGGAUCACGGCUAGCUGAGAUGUGCAAAUGAAUGUGGACUGUGCUAAGAAGUCACAUCAAAAUGAGUGUUUUAGUAAUCUGCUCUGAAAGCCAGUGAAAACACAAUGAGCAACUCUUCACUGCUGAGAUGGGAAAAUACAAGAGUCUUCCCAGCUCAUGCCACUCAACACCACGGCUUCAUCAUUUAUUACAGAGCAAAGCAAACAAAGCCACUGACUCUAAUCCUUAAUGAGUAUAUGCGACUCUGAUAAUAUUUAUCAGGUUUAUUUGUUUGAGGGUGACUGAAAUGAAAAGAAAAUAGUGCAGCUUUUGGUCAUUAGUCUCCUCUGACGUGUGCUGCAAUUCUAAGGAAAACACUCGUGACCUAUUUUUAGCAAGUACCUUCAUCCGCAGAAGCACUAAUCACUGAAGAGUAAUCCUUGCGAUGGAAAACACAAAAUUCCCAGAAUUAAACUUUCUUGCUCAUCUGUUUUCUGCUCACAGGAAGUCUAUCAACACCCUCAUGUCUCAUCAUCGAGGACUGAGUUAAUGAAGCAAUUCUGCCGACCAGGCUGCCUUCAUUUUCUUCUUUGCUAAAUUGGGUUCCUCCCAGCCCAGAAAAAUUGGAAAGGUCCCCUCCUUCAGGAAUCCCUUACUAUGUCAAUCCUUUUGACCAAAAAUGUUAAUACUUUUAUAUUAUUUGAACUUCACCUAUCAGUUCAUUCUGUUCUCUUUUUAAUUAAACAUUUUUUACAGACUCAAAGAAAGAUGAUAAGGUUACUCAUUGUUUCAUGUUUCAUGGUCAUGAUAUCUGGAGUUAGGGACAUGUAUUGUAAAGUCCUAUGAUCGUGGUGUCUGGAGUAAAGGGUAGAUAAAUAAAGAAGCUGCAGUUUCUUCCUCACAAGGCUACAGGUGUGGAAUGCUGCAGUUUGGCCUGUCGGAGACUUGAAAUCAGAAUUGCUGAGAUUUUCCACAUGAAAUCACCAAGAGAUUGGAUCCAGUAACAUUCCUUUAUGGAGACUAAGGGGAAGGUCGAAAGACAGCAACUGAGACUGCUCUUGAGGUGCCUCAGAAGGUGACAAGGCCUAUCGUUGAAGCUGUUAUUGUGUGACAUUUUGGUGGUAUAGCUGCCCAUAAAAUUCUCAUUCUCAUGUAGACAAUCCCUUAUUCCUCUUUCUGAAAAUAAACCCAAUUAAUUCCAUUGGUUCACGAGGUUCUAUAUCUUAAAUUGAUUAAUUAUUUGGUCUGUCAUUAGUGUAGUAUCUGGGAUAAAGAGAUGUUUGUUUAUAAUUUCACAGGAAAAAUUAAUACAAUAGUUAAAUAACUCAUUAAGAUAUGAUACAUUAAUAGGUUCAAUAAAUAGUCAUUGGUAUCUGAGGGGUCUGCAGCUCUCUACCACCCAAGGGGACCACUACUGGUAGACAUUGAUGUGUGGACAUAGGAGACAUAUGGACUCCAUGCCAUUGGAGUUUUAGAAGAGUAGAAUGUGGGAGUAGUUUAAAGAUGGAUGGUCCUGAAGCACUGGUUGUUCAAACUGGACUUUUGGAAUAAAACAAGUUGCAGAUUUGAAUAGGGUACCUUCCACUGUGACAUAUACAUUUUUUUAAUAAGUAAUAUCAUUGGCACUUAUUAGAGACAUUGUAAAAAGACAUUAUUUGUUCCAGUUUUUUUGAAGUCCCAGUGGAGAAAAGUUGUUACUGUUCACACACCAUUGCUUGCUUUGCAAAGAUAGAUAGUCUCCACACAGAACUUUGAACUGAUUUCCACAGAAACAUUUUAUAUGCAAGUGAUUCAGAAGAAAAACAGCUUUAUAACUUUGCAGAAAGGAGUGAGAAGAACUUCAUAGAGGAAAUACCAUUACAGUUUGACUUUAGAAUUAAAUAUUUGAGGAGGAAAUAAAGGAGAUACAGGCCACCCACCAUAAGCCAAAUGGUUGCUAGAAAUGUGACCUGGAACACUCUUACACGUCUUUCUUGGUGUUCUUGCAUGAACUCUAGGUAUCUGUUAGACAUUUCCACUAAAAACAAUACAUUUCUUAGGAAAGGAACAGCCGUUUUAUGAUCCCCAUUGAGAAUCCAAUAGAAAUAAAAUCUGUUGUUAAUCUGGGGCCCAUAAAGAAACAGUUCUAUAAACUGAGAGAUUGAUUGACACAGCCCACAAUUGCCCAUCCCCUAUCAUGAAUUAAACAGGAGUAAGUGGAAUAGCGUGAAGCCUUCUUUACUAGGUAGCUCAUUUGUGAAACUUUUAUACUUUUGUCCCCAAAGAGUACAGUAUAUGGAACAGAAAUUACAAAAUUAUGAUUUUUGGGGGGGAGGUAGGCAUACCCUGUAAUUUUUUGUUUGUUGGUAAAAUGCCUUCUAUUUCCAGUCUGUUCUCAGCUAGGCAUGGACACUUAGCUGCUGUGCUUCCCCACCAUGGUGGACUCAGUC